rnacentral:tRNA from 1 species
GGGCUAUUAGCUCAGGUGGUUAGAGCGCACGCCUGAUAAGCGUGAGGUCCGUGGUUCGAGUCCACGAUGGCCCACCA